GUCCAGGGGCGGGAAUCGAACCCACAACCUUCUGCUUACCGGGCAGUUGCCAUGUCCAUUAGGCUACCCUGGG
rnacentral:tRNA from 1 species